CCCACAGGCACCAUAUUUAUAAUUAGAAAUUAAUGUGGAUGAACUCUUCCAGGUUAAGGUCAAAAUUUUGUUCAACUGGCUCCUCAGUUCAGUGAGAUCCCUGGCCUGCCAGGAAGUGAUUUUCUUUAUUACCAGCUGAAAGACAUAGACCUCCCGAGAGGGCUUUGUAGAUAUUGAUUCCAUGUACGAAUGACAUUAAUUACUAUGGACAAAAUUUAAGCAAGAAAGAGGGACUAUGUUUGGGAUCUGAGCUUCACUGAAACGUUAAAACUUGAGCUAAGACCUGCAGGAGGUGAAGGAGCAAAACAUGUGCGUAUCUGAGAGAACAGCUUGCGGGAAGAGGGAAUCAGGGCUCAGAAUAGCAACCCUCAGAGCCCUGCAGAGCCCAAACUGCACAAACAUACCCAGUAACCCUAGAGGGAAGAGCGCUGUCAAGGCCUUGUGGAAUUCGCACAGCAUGUCUGAAAAAUAACACAGAUCUGAGAG